GGAAUGUUCAAAAAGGCAUAUUUUUGGUGGAACUACCUAUCGAACACUGAGAUGCUGUCUCGUCCUGUGUGAUUGUGUCAAGAUGAUUCUUCAGGUACGCCAAACCUGUACAUUGGAAACAACACAACAUUCACAUAUUCAGCGUUUCAGCAAACUCUGUUGUAUGUGGCUGGCAACACAAUCAUAUAAUUGGCAUUGCAAUAGCUCUAACACAGACUUCCACACUUGUUAUUCUCAGAUACUGAGAUUGAUUUGAGUUGGUCAAAUACAUUGAGACCUAACAAAUUCUCUAAUGUUGAGGUGAGUCCUUGUCUGGCUGUACCCAAAUAUAGUUACAGUAUAUGCAUAGGUUAUUGUCCAGCACCUGUAAUGCAACUUAAAUAAUUUUAAAAAGAAAAACAUAACAAAAAACAAGUAAAGGAAAGACUCAAAGACCAAAAGGUAUCAUCAUAUGGACAAUGAGGUUAAAACCUUUUGGAGUAAAGAAAUCAUACCGGUUGUGAUGACAUCAGCUUUGUCAGUCCAAGACGUCUUGAACUUUGACAGAAAGAUUAGAGCAGCAAUAAGCUGUGGCUCCUCCAUCAUUUCUCCAAAGUGCUUUUGCAGACCGUUCUGAAUGGCUCUGAUAAGUGGUAGGCACAUUUGGCAAGAUGCUUCCAGCCUUUGAAGUUUUGUUUAUAGUAAGAAGAUCACUGGCAGCAGCCACCCCAUAUGCGUGUUGGUCUCAGACUGUAGAAUGUUUAAACCUGAGACCAAAAGAUUCAUCACUUUGCAGUACUCAUUCAAGAAGUGUGACGUCUGCUUCUAACUUACACCCUCAAACACGUAGAUCCCCUGAAAGCAGCUCACUUUCCAGCCCACUUUCCAUCUCACACUCCCAAACCCCUAGAUCCCAAUCAACUGAAUUCGGAUCACCUGAUCACACACCUGUAUGUCUUUAUCACACACUAUUUAGUUCAGUUCGUUGCACCCCAUCACUGUGAGGUAUUGUUUGUUUUGUGACACGUCUUUCAGAGCACUGAUGGUCCCGUGAGCUAUGUUUCCCAGGUAAGUUGAGUUCCAAUGUGUUUGAUUUGGACAGAUCAACUGCAGUUUGCACUCAUUCUCUAGAACUUCAGCAGCUAAGGUUGACUGCCCUGUUUUAUUCCAUAUGGCUUGGCAUUUGGCAAAAGACCACCUGGACAACCUUUUGUAGCGAUCACUAUUUGUUUCUGCCAACGCAGAAUCUGUUGUUGUGAUGAGGAUCAGCAGGUGACAUGCACACUGAUGCUGAGGGAGUUGCUAUUCUAGGCCACUGUCAUUUUCCAGGAUGGAAUAGGUGUCUUGGUAUUCAACCUGCUCUGCUGGCUCUUCAGCAUCUGAGUCUCGGUCUGCACCUUUAUCCACUGAAAGCGCACAAAACAUUUAAACGUGUUAACCCUCGCAAGGCUGCCGGCCCAGACGGCAUCCCCAGCCGCGUCCUCAGAGCAUACGAAGACCAGCUGGCUGGUGUGUUUACGGACAUAUUCAAUCAAUCCUUAUCCCAGUCUGCUGUUCCCACUUGCUUCAAGUGGGCCACCAUUGUUCCUGUUCCCAAGAAAGCGAAGGUAACUGAGCUAAAUCGCCACGUAGCACUCACUUCCAUAAUCAUGAAGUGCUUUGAGAGACUAGUCAAGGACCAUAUCACCUCCACCCUACCUGACACCCUAGACCCACUCCAAUUUUCUUACCGCCCCAAUAGGUCCACAGAUGAAGCAAUCACACUGCACACUGCCCUAACCCAUCUGGACAAGAGGAAUAACUAUGUAAGAAUGCUGUUCAUCGACUACAGCUCAGCAUUUAACACCAUAGAACCCUCCAAACUCGUCAUUAAGCUCGAGACCCUGGGUCUCGACCCAACCCUGUGCAACUGGGUCCUGGACCUCCUGACCGGCCACCCCAGGUGGUGAGGAUAGGUAACAACAUCUCCACCCCACUGAUCCUCAACACUGGUGCCCCACAAGGGUGCGUUCUCAGCCCUCUCCUGUACUCCCUGUUCACCCAUGACUGCGUGGCCAUGCACGCCUCCAACUCAAUCAUCAAGUUUGCAGAUGACACUACAGUGGUAAGCUUGAUUACCAACAAUGACGAGAUGCCUACAGGGAGGAGGUGAGGGCCCUCGGUGUGGUGUCAGGAAAAUAACCUCACACUCAAUGUCAACAAAACAAAGGAGAUGAUCGUGGACUUCAGGAAACAGCAGAGGGAGCACCCCCCUAUCCACAUCGACGGGACGGUAGUGGAGAAGGUGGAGAGUUUUAAGUUCCUUGACGUACACAUCACGGACAAACUGAAAUGGUCCACCCACACAGACAGUGUGGUGAAGAAGGCGCAGCAGCACCACUUCAACCUCAGGAGGCUUGUCACCUAAAACACUCUCAAACUUUUACAGAUGCACAAUCGAGAAGCAUCCCGUCAGGCUGUAUCACAGCCUGGUACGGCAACUGCUCCACCCACAACCGUAAGGCUCUCCAGAGGGUAGUGAGGUCUGCACAACGCAUCACCGGGGGCAAACUACCUGUCGUCCAGGACACCUACACCACCCGAUGUUACAGGAAGGCCAAAAAGAUCAUCAAGGACAACAACCACCCGAGCCACUGCCUGUUCACCCCGCUAUCAUCCAGAAGGCGAGGUCAGUACAGGUGCAUCAAAGCGGGGACCGAGAGACUGAAAAACAGCUUCUAUCUCAAGGCCAUCAGACUGUUAAACAGCCAUCACUAACAUUGAGUAGCUGCUGCCAACAUACUGACUCAUUUCUAGCCACUUUAAUAAUGAAAAAUGUAUGUAAUAAAUGUACCACUAGCCACUUUAACCCCUGUGCGGCCUCCGUCCCGUAUGCGAGACGGACAUCCAGCGAAAAAUCAUAUCGCCAUUAGCAUAACAAAAUGUAUUCUUUUUUUUCAAUUUUUUUUUCAAAUUAUAUUCAAAUUAUAUCGUUUUAUAGAUACACCUCUCCUGAAUCGAACCACGUUGUCCG
rnacentral:lncRNA from 1 species